AUUGAACGCUGGCGGCAUGCCUUACACAUGCAAGUCGAACGGUAACAGGUUAAGCUGACGAGUGGCGAACGGGUGAGUAAUAUAUCGGAACGUGCCCAGUCGUGGGGGAUAACGUAGCGAAAGCUACGCUAAUACCGCAUACGAUCUACGGAUGAAAGCGGGGGAUCGCAAGACCUCGCGCGAUUGGAGCGGCCGAUAUCAGAUUAGGUUGUUGGUGAGGUAAAGGCUCACCAAGCCUGCGAUCUGUAGCUGGUCUGAGAGGACGACCAGCCAAAAUGGAACUGAGACACGGUCCAGACUCCUACGGGAGGCAGCAGUGGGGAAUUUUGGACAAUGGACGCAAGUCUGAUCCAGCAAUGCCGUGUGCAGGACGAAGGCCUUCGGGUUGUAAACUGCUUUUGUACGGAACGAAACGGCGAGCUCUAAUACAGUUUGCUAAUGACGGUACCGUAAGAAUAAGCACCGGCUAACUACGUGCCAGCCGCCGCGGUAA
rnacentral:rRNA from 1 species